rnacentral:rRNA from 1 species
UACAGAGGUCUCAAGCGUUGUUCGGAUUCAUUGGGCGUAAAGGGUGCGUAGGCGGCGCGGUAAGUCGGGUGUGAAAUCUCGGAGCUUAACUCCGAAACUGCAUUCGAUACUGCCGUGCUUGAGGACUGGAGAGGAGACUGGAAUUUACGGUGUAGCGGUGAAAUGCGUAGAUAUCGUAAGGAAGACCAGUGGCGAAGGCGGGUCGCUGGGCAGGUCCUGACGCUGAGGCACGAAGGUCAGGGGAGCAAACGGG